GCGAUCGACAGAAGGUCGCUAUGUCUCCUCUGAAACAAUACCGGACGUGAACUUGGGAAGUGAUGAUCCUUCCUCUCAAGGACACACAGAACAAAGUAGUGUAAACAGGCCUGCAGAGAGCAU